GGGCGCUUAGCUCAGUUGGCCAGAGCACCGCCUUUACACGGCGGGGGUCGCUGGUUCAAGUCCAGCAGCGCCCA
rnacentral:tRNA from 1 species